UGGGGAAUUUUGGACAAUGGGCGCAAGCCUGAUCCAGCCAUGCCGCGUGCGGGAAGAAGGCCUUCGGGUUGUAACCGCUUUUGUCAGGGAAGAAAUCUUCUGAGUUAAUACCUCGGGAGGAUGACGGUACCUGAAGAAUAAGCACCGGCUAACUACGUGCCAGCAGCCGCGGUAAUACGUAGGGUGCAAGCGUUAAUCGGAAUUACUGGGCGUAAAGCGUGCGCAGGCGGUUUUGUAAGACAGAGGUGAAAUCCCCGGGCUCAACCUGGGAACUGCCUUUGUGACUGCAAGGCUUGAGUGCGGCAGAGGGGAUGGAAUUCCGCGUGUAGCAGUGAAAUGCGUAGAUAUGCGGAGGAACACCGAUGGCGAAGGCAAUCCCCUGGGCCUGCACUGACGCUCAUGCACGAAAGCGUGGGGAGCAAACAGGAUUAGAUAGCCCUGGUAGUCCACGCCCUAAACGAUGUCAACUGGUUGUUGGGAAGGUUCCUUCUCAGUAACGUAGCUAACGCGUGAAGUUGACCGCCU
rnacentral:rRNA from 1 species